GGAGAAGACUAGGGCAUUGGUCUUGCUUUUGUCACUUCUUCUUUUCUUUGAGUCUUUCAUAAAUACUCUUCUUGUGUAGAAAAACACCAUCAAGAUAGAUGAUGUCACUUCUAUACUUCUCCAAAAUAAGAUUCUAUGGCGAAAGAAUCGAGCUUCAAGUUUAGAUGAUGACUUGGCUAGGGUGGUGACUGGAGGAGGUGGUGACAGAGGACGAAGGGGCAGAGAAUCGUAAGAUGGGUGAUCCAAGUCCAAAUCAAGGAACUUCAAUAAGAUCAGAUAUUACAGAUGUGAUGAGCUGAAGCAUCGAGUCAGAGAUUCUCUACAGCUCAAAGAUCGGACAAAGGCUACUACGGCGACAGUGUCCAAGGUAGUAAUACAGAAGAAAGUGAUAAUGUUCUUCUAGUGACUGAUAAGGUAUCUACUUCUUUUCUACAGUAAAUUUUAGAUUCUGUAUGUUCGCAUCAUAUUUAUUAUAAAAAGAAGUUAUGACUUUCUAAAAAAUAAUGAGGGUACUGU
rnacentral:lncRNA from 1 species